UCUGACCUCAAAAGGCUGACAUUCUACUGCACAAAAAUCCAUGGAUCUAGGUCAGUCAUUGUGAAAAAGGGGCUGACCUAGUCACAUGCCUCCCCAGUAGUCAGAAGUCUGUGUUCUGGUAGCUUUAUGUGCCCGGCACAUCAUAAAUAUGACAUUUAAAUAAAUGCCUAUUGAUCUGAUUUGAUAGGACCUGAUCGAUGAUGUCAGCCAGAGUAGAUCUUUUGCUUAUCAGAGUCCAAAUCCUGAUUUGCUUUCGCCCCUUUCCCACCUUUUAGGGACCUGUCUCAGUCGUCAAGAAGGCAUCAUCCAGGCUCAGUCAUUCUAAAAGUAUGCACUGAGCUCAGUUCUAUUUGGAGCAGCUUGACCAUUGAAAGAAAGUCUGUGACAAGGGUAACAUCUACCAGAGCAGUGGAGGUUGUACAGUGGUCACUAUAUAGGGCCUGUGACAGAGAACUCAGUGAGAGGCCCCCAGAAGGAAAAUCUCACACCUGGUCCAGUAUCUGCAAUGUAGCCAGAGUUUAAUACACCCUUGUCAGUUGGCCAGUUCACUGAUUGAUGGUAAAAAUUCCCCCAGAGAUGGAAAUGACUUGUCCAAGGCCAAACACAUAUCUUCAGCACCUGGUAUACAGCAGGCAUUUACUAAAGGCUUGCUUGCUUGAGCCUCUCCAUUUGUUUGUAGUGAAGCCAAGCAUGCUAGCCCCAGCAUCAGAGCCCUCCAUGGACUCAUCGGACGGAAGGCACAUCUCGUUCGUCCCCUUGCAGCAGGAACGCUUUCAGCUGAUGGCAGAGGCGUGCUUCAUCAUCAGGGCAUCGCGAAGAGUGGACUGGUGUGGAAAGGGAGGGAGGGUGUGGAAGACUCUGGCUCCGUUUUUGACUCUGCUCUUUAUCUCCGUGCCUCAGCUGCCUUCUCCCUGGGAAGUUCCCUUAGCUAUCCCUGUGGGUUGUCGGCCCUUCCUAAGCGCCUGGGAACAUCAUCUUGCCCCUGAGUCCUCUUCUCCCGGUAGGGAGUUCCCCUCAGAGCCUCCGCUUUGAGGCAGGGCCCGUUCCUCCAUUCCUCUCCCGAUUUGACUUCUCACUCUCUGGAUUUCCCCACCAAACCUCUCCACAGGUACCUCCUCUCCCAUCCCCUGAUUCUUUUCAGCUUCCUUCGGUAUGUCUUCACACGUUAGAAUAUAAGCUCCCUGAGGUCCAGAACUAGCCUUUAGCUUCUAUGUGCAUCCCCAAUGUUCAGCAUAAUGACCGGCAUACGACCAUCAAAUCAAAUUCCCCCGGGAGAAAAAAGGACAGAAUGCCUGACAGUGGAGAUGAAAGGAAGCUUUACAAGGACAUAAAACAAGCCCAGCAAUGUCAACCACCCUCAAUGAAAGGACUCAAGAGAAAAGCAGAAGAUGAGAGAGAAGUCAUUGAGAAGGUCUGCUUGCCUUCUUCUCUAAUGCCUUACUUCAUUCUCAAGCCUGGUCUCUUUGGAGUUGGAUUCUGAAGAAGGCUGGGCUCAGAUGAGAGGAAAUUUGGUUCAUGGACAGGACUGGAGGGCUUGGCUCUGUAACGGGAUGGAGCCCUCCAGGUCAGAUGAGCCAAGAAAUACUUAAGAUCUGCCAAACCCCAAAGCCCUCUACCCUGCACUGAGUGAGAUCAGGGGCUCAUGUACUGGGAAAAUGGCAACUGUCCUCCUUAGGAAAUUUCUUCUUCAUGAAAUGGUAGAGGGUCAUGGGAGGGAACUGUUAUAGGGAGAGGGUAACUCCAACACACCCUCAUCUGAGGAGUCUCCAGGGAACUCUCUCUCUCUCUCUGUCUCUCUCUCUCUGUCUCUCUCUCUCUCUCUCUCUCUCUCUCUCUCUCUCUCU